GAUGAAGAACGUAGCGAAAUGCGAUACGUAAUGUGAAUUGCAGAAUUCAGUGAAUCAUCGAAUCUUUGAACGCAUAUUGCGCUCUCUGGUAUUCCGGAGAGCAUGCUUGUUUGAGUAUCAGUAAACACCUCAACUUCCAUAUCUUUUUUGAAAUGGGAGUUGGACUUGAGUGAUCCCAACGCUUUUCCUCACCGAAAAGUGGCGGGUUACUUGAAAUGCAGGUGCAGCUGGACUUUUCUCUGAGCUAUAAGCAUAUCUAUUUAGUCUGCCUAAAAAACAAAUUAUUACCUUUGCUGCAGCUAACAUAAAGGAGAUUAGUUCUUGUGCUGACUGAUGCAGGAUUCACAAAGACGGCUUCGGCCGACUUUGUAAACUCGAUCUCAAAUCAAGUAAGACUACCCGCUGAACUUAAGCAUAUCAAUAAGCGGAGGA
rnacentral:misc_RNA from 1 species